CGAAAACACCGCACUUCAUAUAAACACACACACGGACGCGUCGGUUGCUUUGUUUUUGUUAUAGUCCUAAUAAUGAAUAGUUGUUUGGCCAAGAUGAGUUCUGCUAGGACCAACCGAAAGCGUUGUACAUCGUGACGUAAUAGGAUAAGAUUAUUGAUUGCGGGACGCAGAGCAGGCGCCCAAACUGACAGAGAUGCGCUGUCAUUUUAACUUGGUCUCUUGCAGGAUAUAGCAGGAAUCUUCCAACAUUCCUCCUGCAGUGUCAGAUACUCAGAUAACCCCUUCGAUUUUCAACAUAUUUAUUACAAAUAAUAAAUAUCUACAAGUGGCUUUAUUUCAGGUUUUCAGGUAAUAUUUUCAUACAUGAGCAGGAGAAGGGUACGUUACAAGGUGACUAAAGAAAUGUCAAAUGAUCCAAUGAUAAAGACAGCUUGUAGUUCAACUAACAAAUUAAAUAAUGAUUCACUUGCAAUACACAAAAGGCCUUAUCAUAAAGAACUUCUAAUAGACAUAUUAUAAUUUUGACAUUUACACUUUUAGUUGAGUAGCAAUAGAAAUCAAUAUAUACAAGUCUGCUUAUAAUUAACAUUAUAAAAAUAAUAAAUUCACUUUAUACGUUUAUACCAUGGAACUUAUUUAUUUUAAUUCGCAUUAAAAUUUUAU